AGAAAGUGGAAUCUAGAAACCACUCAAAAAACUGGGUGUAUUCUGAAAAACCUUAUGAGUAGGAACAAU
rfam:Polaribacter sp. SA4-10 genome.